AAAAAAACAUUCGGACCGUCGAUCUACCGAGUCAAUAUCACCCGCUCGGUGGAAGAUAUUCCCUUUGUCAUAUAUC
rnacentral:pre_miRNA from 1 species